UGGGGGAUAUUGCACAAUGGGCGAAAGCCUGAUGCAGCGACGCCGCGUGGGGGAUGAAGGCCUUCGGGUUGUAAACUUCUUUUGCUCUGAACAAGGCAUGCCUUUGGGGUGUGUUGAGUGUAGGGGUUGAUUAGCGCCGGCUAACUACGUGCCAGCAGCCGCGGUAAUACGUAGGGCGCGAGCGUUGUACGGAAUUAUUGGGCGUAAAGGGCUUGUAGGUGGCUGGUUGCGUCUGUCGUGAAAGCUCAUGGCUUAACUGUGGGUUUGCGGUGGGUACGGGCUGGCUUGAGUGCAGUAGGGGAGGCUGGAAUUCCUGGUGUAGCGGUGGAAUGCGCAGAUAUCAGGAGGAAUACCGGUGGCGAAGGCGGGUCUCUGGGCUGUUACUGACGCUGAGGAGCGAAAGCGUGGGGAGCGAACAGG
rnacentral:rRNA from 1 species